AGUGCUAAACAUGAUUUGAAGAUUCAAACUUGGUCAAAAAUAUCAAGCCCACGUGUAGCUUGCUCCCUCUCUCCCGUGCGUGCUCACCGUGGCCAAUUUGGCCACGGCGCCGCUCGCGCACGCCACAACGACGCGUCGCACGAAGUUUCUCCCCUGCUCACGCGAGAGCCGAGCCCUAGCCCUUUUCCCCUGCUGCCAGAGCGCGCCUCGUCGCCCGCCAUGGCUGCCGCCGGCCUUGCACACCGUGCUCCCACCUCCGGCCUUCCUCCACCCAAGCCAGCCACCGAAAUAGCUUCUCCACCUCCUACUGAUUCUCCACGGCCCAACCCCGCUUGCCCAGCCACGCCGGAACGCCGCCGCAACGGCACAGUACCACUGCCGGCCGCCGCCCGCCAUGGAACCGCCACCACGGACCACCUCCUCGCGCUCCAAGGCCACCUACAGGUACGAUAGAUGAACCACGUGAGGGAUGUCACGUUGAAGCCAGGACAGAAGACGGUGAAUGGUGGACACAUCUAGAAGAUGGAUGGAUGGAUCCCGAUGUGCAUGACCGAAGGCAGAUGCUCGCCAAACGAGUAUCAUCUAACUAACACUGAUUUAGUGUUAAUCCCAGGCAAGCCCCGGUGCAUGUCCUAGUAUUUUGAAAUUAUGACAUCCAUAUAUGUUGCUAUUACUUAUGCAUUACGUUUUAGGAGUUGAUUUGAAACCUAGUUGCAUGAUCCUUAUUUCCUUGAGUCGUACUAGUAUGUAUAGGGCGAUAGAAACGCUAUGCUGAAUAAGUAUCGAUAGAAGUCGAGUGACUGCUUGUCACUCGCGAGAUAUAGGAUGUUUAGAAGACGAGUAAUUUCCAGUUACUCGCGAGAUAUAAGUUAUAUGUAUAGUUAUGUUACAGUA